UUGCUUUUCCUUGUAAGGAUUGAUUCGCAGUUGCCUUAGACUAGGUUGGACAUUAGAUGCUUUAAGUUGUGUUUUAUUGCCUCGCGGUUAUAAUUUUCUUCAUUUAGGGCUUAUUUUGGGUCGUUCUCCUUGCGAUGAUGCUUGUGACCUUGGUGGCUCGUCAUAGCCCUAUGUUGGUCCUAACUGUGCUCAGUCUGGGACUUGAGCGACGUGAUUGGGGUAGGGCAUCAUCCUUCGAGUUUUCUCCCUCUUUUAUUGAUUUGAAGUAUCUUCUUGACCCCUUUGCUUGUUGAUUAGUGAUGGGCAUGUUGUAUCCUUAUUGAGCUUAUGAUUAUAUUGUUGGACCUAAGGACAUGUACGAGGACCUGUUGGAUCCCAGGUUAGUACUCUCUGCUUUGGUAGCUUGGUUUCAGUGGUUGUAUAAUUAUUUAAUUUGGAGUGCCUUGUUUAAAUGUUGGUGAUGCAUGUAUUGCAUUGUUUGCUCAUUCUCAUGGAUUUUGUGGUACAAUCCCCGCCCAUGCAUUGGCAUAUUUAUCAUUCAUUAUGAAGUACUAUUUUACUCAAUUUUUAUUCUAAACUGGUUUUGACGGGAGUUGUACCACCUGAAUCACUUGACUUACUGAUUUUUGAGAUUACGAGGCGUCAGAGACGUGCUCUUUUUUCUACUUGAGAUAUUAGAGGCAUCUGGGAUGUGCUCAGUUUUCACUUGAAUAUCCGGCGCAUCGAUGCCCUUUCUUGCAUGCUUUUGGUUUUACUUACACCCCUGGGUCACUCUUGCUAGUUGGGUGGCUUAUGCCCUUGGGAGUGGACUGACUGAUUGGGCAACCUUGAUACUUGGGAUCCUCUUCGGAGUUGACACACCAUUGAGUCACUCUUGCUAGCAGGGAGGCUUAUGCCCCUGGGAGUGGACUGUGUGGCUGGGCGGCCUGGAUUGAUUUGUCACUCUUGCUAGCUGGGCUAGGAAUUGACUGGAGUCAUAUGAUUAUGGUUUUGGAUGGUCCUGUUGCACACCCAACAUCCCUAUGCAUUGCCUAUUACCAAUAUACUUGUUUGUUGUUUGUACCCUCUGGUUUAUGGGGGCCGAUUGGGUUAUGUUUGAUGUUUGUACCUUCCAGGCUUAUGAGGUCCGGUUAGGUUAUUGUUUGACUAUAUUCAGUUCUUUGCUAUUGUUUUAUUGUUACUUGGUAGGUUUUGACUUUAGAAUUGUGGUUGUGUGUCCUCCUAACACUAGCCAGUUGACUUGUUAUCUUAGUUUCUUGCGAUUAGGUUAUUGGCUUACAAUCUAGGUGCGUUCUUGACUCGACUUCUUACCCCUUAUUUUCUAUUUCUAUUCUUUAUUUCCUGAAUACCUUAGCAUAUCUUGUUUAAUUACUUAUGUUAUGCUUUCCUUAUUACUUGUUGUUUAUGCUUGUGUAAUCUUCUGAGCUCAGUUGGCUGUUGCAUGUUGAGUACCGUUUCGGUGCUCAUACUAUACUUCUUCCCCCUGCAAAUUGCUGCAGAUUGCAGUUGAGUUAUUGUCGUUGAUUUGGAGUCAUGCGGAGCAACUUAGGAUUUCAGAGAUUAGGG
rnacentral:lncRNA from 1 species